ensembl:misc_RNA Metazoa_SRP Metazoan signal recognition particle RNA
GCCGGGCGCGGUGGCGGGCGCCUGUAGUUCAAGCUACUCAGGAGGCUGAGGCAGAAGUAUUGCUUGAACCCGGGAGGCGGAGGUUGCAGUGAGCUGAGAUUGUGCCACUGCACUUCAGCCUGAGUGACAGAGCGAGACUCUGUCUCUA